UACGUAGGGGGCAAGCGUUAUCCGGAUUCACUGGGUGUAAAGGGAGCGUAGACGGCGACGCAAGUCUGGGGUGAAAGCCCGGGGCCCAACCCCGGGACUGCUCUGGAAACUGCGGCGCUGGAGUACGGGAGGGGCAGGCGGAAUUCCUGGUGUAGCGGUGAAAUGCGUAGAUAUCAGGAGGAACACCGGCGGCGAAGGCGGCCUGCUGGACCGUGACUGACGUUGAGGCUCGAGAGCGUGGGGAGCAAACAGG
rnacentral:rRNA from 1 species